UCAACCCUAGGGUGAGAUAAGAAAAUCUCACACCGGUAAAAUGGUGGAUAUCCCUGUCCAGGGUAAGAGAAAAUAUUUUGCCUUGCAUUACUUAGUUUGAACCUUUCUCAGCUGCUACUGGCGUAUGAAGUUUAAAAAUCAGUUCUAAAAAACAGCAUUAAAUUGAUUUUGAUAACAUUUUUUACCCGGUAUUAUUGUUUUAUCCUUUUUGAGAAUUCAGGAUCAUAUGACUGCAUAUUUUUAAAUACCACAUGUACAUAAUUGCAAUACAUAAUUUAAUUGAAAGCAAAAUAUGUAAUAUUUGUGCUACAUAUAUAUGAAAUGAAAAUCUAUUUAUUUUUAAAGACUAUAUGUUAUAUGACUAUGGAUAAUUUUUUUUGUAUGUAAACACAUGAGUUGUUCGGUAAUUUGGUUCCUAACUUUGGGACCAGAGUUGUUUGUUAGGCAAAUAGGGAAUGAUCUAGUGAUGUUUUGUUGCUGUCGGGCGAGUCUUGGAAUAGACUUUCGGUAUUUGCAUUAACGUUUGCAGGCCUAUUCCACAACGACAAUGUAUUUCCAGGCUGCCACAGGUUUAGCUUAUCAGAGAAGCAAUGAGGUAAGGCUAUUUUUUGUGCUAUUUUUUUCACUUUGAUAUUACUUUGGCAAGCAUUUUUGAAAUCCUUAAAAAAUAGUUUUUGUCAAAACCCUUCAAAUUAAUCAUUUUGGUUUUAAUUGAAAUAGGACUAUAAAAACGUUUAAUAAAACAUGUUCUGAAGCCUAUGGCUGUAUUAAAGAUGAUUAAUAGAACUUGUUCAGAGGACUACCAACUUUGUGUUUUAAUUUCAUUACGAAACGAUAUUAUUGGUGGUUGAUUUAGAAGGCUGAAAUAUUUUCUAUAUUAAUAACUAAUAUUGUGUUAUUGGCACAAACCUUUUCUUUAGUAUUACUUGUUUCCAUGAGGUGUUUGAUAAUUCAUAUCAAGACCCUGAAAAUUUUACCUCUGUCAAAUGUUUGAAAUCUUAGGAAGAAAAGUGAAAAACUUAACACGUAACUCUUGUUUAAACUUUGUUGAAAGUUGAUUUUAGACUUCCAGUGUUUGCCGCUUAUUUUUUUAAUGGAUCAAUUUAAAAAUUUAAAGAAAAAGAAUAAAAUAGGAAAACAAAUUGAAUGUAAUCUCAAUGACUGUUGAAGAAAUUACAUCCAAAACUGAAAUGAACAUAUUUCACUCUACCGGUGAUUCAUGAAAUUAAAACCAUGCCGGUACAAAGCCACAACUUUCGUACUGAAAUUAAGCAGUAUUGUUGAUGUCAUGAGGAAUUGUUUUGUUUCUGACUAGAUAUAACCGUGUCACACUGUAACCGUCUGUGUCAGGUCUGACUAGAUAUAACCGUGUCACACUAUAACUCCCUGUGUCAGGUCUGACUAGAUAUAACCGUGUCACACUGUAACUGUCUGUGUCAGGUCUGACUAGAUAUAACCCGUGUCACACUGUAACUGUCUGUGUCAGGUCUGACUAGAUAUAACCGUGUCACACUGUAACUGUCUGUGUCAAGUCUGACUAGAUAUAACCCGUGUCACACUGUAACUGUCUGUGUCAGGUCUGACUAGAUAUAACCCGUGUCACACUGUAACCGUCUGUGUCAGGUCUGACUAGAUAUAACCUGUGUCACACUGUAACUGUCUGUGUCAGGUCUGACUAGAUAUAACCCGUGUCACACUGUAACUGUCUGUGUCAGGUCUUUGUUAUACGUAUUACAUCACAUUUACGUAUUGAAGUAAUGUACGUAUUGUUGUUUCAUGAAAUUGAAAAUUAAAUCUUUUUGCAUUUGA